AGAGUUUGCUUCUGGCUCAGGAUGAACGCUGGCGGCGUGCUUAACACAUGCAAGUCGAACGAAGCACUCUAUUUGAUUUUCUUCGGAAAUGAAGAUUUUGUGACUGAGUGGCGGACGGGUGAGUAACGCGUGGGUAACCUGCCUCAUACAGGGGGAUAACAGUUGGAAACGACUGCUAAUACCGCAUAAGCGCACAGGAUCGCAUGAUCCGGUGUGAAAAACUCCGGUGGUAUGGGAUGGACCCGCGUCUGAUUAGCCAGUUGGCAGGGUAACGGCCUACCAAAGCGACGAUCAGUAGCCGACCUGAGAGGGUGACCGGCCACAUUGGGACUGAGACACGGCCCAAACUCCUACGGGAGGCAGCAGUGGGGAAUAUUGCACAAUGGGGGAAACCCUGAUGCAGCGACGCCGCGUGAGCGAAGAAGUAUUUCGGUAUGUAAAGCUCUAUCAGCAGGGAAGAAGAAUGACGGUACCUGACUAAGAAGCACCGGCUAAAUACGUGCCAGCAGCCGCGGUAAUACGUAUGGUGCAAGCGUUAUCCGGAUUUACUGGGUGUAAAGGGAGCGCAGGCGGUGCGGCAAGUCUGAUGUGAAAGGCUGGGGCUCAACCCCGGGACUGCAUUGGAAACUGCCCGUCUUGAGUGCCGGAGAGGUAAGCGGAAUUCCUAGUGUAGCGGUGAAAUGCGUAGAUAUUAGGAGGAACACCAGUGGCGAAGGCGGCUUACUGGACGGUAACUGACGUUGAGGCUCGAAAGCGUGGGGAGCAAACAGGAUUAGAUACCCUGGUAGUCCACGCGGUAAGCGAU
rnacentral:rRNA from 1 species